rnacentral:rRNA from 1 species
CCUACGGGAGGCAGCAGUGGGGAAUAUUGCACAAUGUGGGAAACCCUGAUGCCGCGACGCCGCGUGAGUGAAGAAGUAUUUCGGUACGUAAAGCUCUAUCAGCAGGGAAGAAAAAAAGUCCUUUGGACUUUGGACGGUACCUGACCAAGAAGCCCCGGCUAAAUACGUGCCAGCAGCCGCGGUAAUACGUAGGGGGCAAGCGGUAUCCGGAUUUACUGGGUGUAAAGGGAGCGCAGAAGGGAGAGGAAGUCUGGCGUGAAAUGCCGGGGCCCAACCCCGGAACUGCUUUGGAAACUGGGCAGCUGGAGUGCAGGUGAGGUAAGCGGAAUUCCUAGUGUAGCGGGGAAAUGCGGAGAUAUUAGGAGGAACACCAGUGGCGAAGGCGGCUUACUGGACUGUAACUGACGUUGAGGCUCGAAAGCGUGGGGAGCAAACAGGAUUAGAUACCCUAGUAGUC